UACGGAGGGUGCAAGCGUUAUCCGGAUUCACUGGGUUUAAAGGGUGCGUAGGCGGGCAGGUAAGUCAGUGGUGAAAUCUCCGGGCUUAACCCGGAAACUGCCGUUGAUACUAUCUGUCUUGAAUAUCGUGGAGGUAAGCGGAAUAUGUCAUGUAGCGGUGAAAUGCUUAGAUAUGACAUAGAACACCAAUUGCGAAGGCAGCUCACUACACAAUUAUUGACUCUGAGGCACGAAAGCGUGGGGAUCAAACAGG
rnacentral:rRNA from 1 species